rnacentral:rRNA from 1 species
GACGAACGCUGGCGGCGUGCUUAACACAUGCAAGUCGAACGAUGAAGCCUUUCGGGGUGGAUUAGUGGCGAACGGGUGAGUAACACGUGGGCAAUCUGCCCUUCACUCUGGGACAAGCCCUGGAAACGGGGUCUAAUACCGGAUAACACUCUGUCCCGCAUGGGACGGGGUUAAAAGCUCCGGCGGUGAAGGAUGAGCCCGCGGCCUAUCAGCUUGUUGGUGGGGUAAUGGCCUACCAAGGCGACGACGGGUAGCCGGCCUGAGAGGGCGACCGGCCACACUGGGACUGAGACACGGCCCAGACUCCUACGGGAGGCAGCAGUGGGGAAUAUUGCACAAUGGGCGAAAGCCUGAUGCAGCGACGCCGCGUGAGGGAUGACGGCCUUCGGGUUGUAAACCUCUUUCAGCAGGGAAGAAGCGAAAGUGACGGUACCUGCAGAAGAAGCGCCGGCUAACUACGUGCCAGCAGCCGCGGUAAUACGUAGGGCGCAAGCGUUGUCCGGAAUUAUUGGGCGUAAAGAGCUCGUAGGCGGCUUGUCACGUCGGAUGUGAAAGCCCGGGGCUUAACCCCGGGUCUGCAUUCGAUACGGGCUAGCUAGA